rnacentral:rRNA from 1 species
UAGAUGCAAGUCGAGCGAACAGAGAAGGAGCUUGCUCCUUCGACGUUAGCGGCGGACGGGUGAGUAACACGUGGGCAACCUACCUUAUAGUUUGGGAUAACUCCGGGAAACCGGGGCUAAUACCGAAUAAUCUGUUUCACCUCAUGGUGAAACACUGAAAGACGGUUUCGGCUGUCGCUAUAGGAUGGGCCCGCGGCGCAUUAGCUAGUUGGUGAGGUAACGGCUCACCAAGGCGACGAUGCGUAGCCGACCUGAGAGGGUGAUCGGCCACACUGGGACUGAGACACGGCCCAGACUCCUACGGGAGGCAGCAGUAGGGAAUCUUCCACAAUGGGCGAAAGCCUGAUGGAGCAACGCCGCGUGAGUGAAGAAGGAUUUCGGUUCGUAAAACUCUGUUGUAAGGGAAGAACAAGUACAGUAGUAACUGGCUGUACCUUGACGGUACCUUAUUAGAAAGCCACGGCUAACUACGUGCCAGCAGCCGCGGUAAUACGUAGGUGGCAAGCGUUGUCCGGAAUUAUUGGGCGUAAAGCGCGCGCAGGUGGUUUCUUAAGUCUGAUGUGAAAGCCCACGGCUCAACCGUGGAGGGUCAUUGGAAACUGGGAGACUUGAGUGCAGAAGAGGAUAGUGGAAUUCCAAGUGUAGCGGUGAAAUGCGUAGAGAUUUGGAGGAACACCAGUGGCGAAGGCGACUAUCUGGUCUGUAACUGACACUGAGGCGCGAAAGCGUGGGGAGCAAACAGGAUUAGAUACCCUGGUAGUCCACGCCGUAAACGAUGAGUGCUAAGUGUUAGGGGUUUCCGCCCCUUAGUGCUGCAGCUAACGCAUUAAGCACUCCGCCUGGGGAGUACGGUCGCAAGACUGAAACUCAAAGGAAUUGACGGGGGCCCGCACAAGCGGUGGAGCAUGGUGGUUUAAUUCGAAGCAACGCGAAGAACCUACCAGUCUUGACAUCCCGUUGACCACUGUAGAGAUAUGGGUUCC